UGAGUUGUAGCUCAGUGGUAAAGCGCUUGCCUCACAUGCAUGAGGCCCUGAGUUCAAUCCUCAGCAACACAU
rnacentral:tRNA from 1 species